rnacentral:rRNA from 1 species
AGUGAACGCUGGCGGUAGGCCUAACACAUGCAAGUCGAACGGCAGCACAGUAAGAGCUUGCUCUUACGGGUGGCGAGUGGCGGACGGGUGAGGAAUACAUCGGAAUCUACUUUUUCGUGGGGGAUAACGUAGGGAAACUUACGCUAAUACCGCAUACGACCUACGGGUGAAAGCAGGGGAUCUUCGGACCUUGCGCGAUUGAAUGAGCCGAUGUCGGAUUAGCUAGUUGGCGGGGUAAAGGCCCACCAAGGCGACGAUCCGUAGCUGGUCUGAGAGGAUGAUCAGCCACACUGGAACUGAGACACGGACCAGACUCCUACGGGAGGCAGCAGUGGGGAAUAUUGGACAAUGGGCGCAAGCCUGAUCCAGCCAUACCGCGUGGGUGAAGAAGGCCUUCGGGUUGUAAAGCCCUUUUGUUGGGAAAGAAAAGCAGCAGGUUAAUACCCCGCUGUUCUGGCGGUACCCAAAGAAUAAGCACCGGCUAACUUCGUG